UCACUCUGGCCAAGGAACUCGGCAAAAUAACCCCGUAACUUCGGAAGAAGGGGUGCUCUCUAGGGUGACAUGUUUAACAUAUGAAGCCCCGGAGAGCCGCAGUGAAUUGGUGGUGGCGACUGUUUACUAAAAACAUAGGUCUGUGCGAAGUCCUAAAGACGACGUAUACGGACUGACGCCUGCCCGGUGCUGGAAGGUUAAAAGGAGGAGUCAGCGCAAGCAAAGCUCCGAAUUGAAGCCCCAGUAAACGGCGGCCGUAACUAUAACGGUCCUAAGGUAGCGAAAUUCCUUGUCGGGUAAGUUCCGACCUGCACGAAUGGCGUAACGAUCUCCACACUGUCUCGGCCAGAGACUCGGUGAAAUUGCAGUCGCGGUGAAAAUUCCGUGUACCCGCAGAAAGACGGAAAGACCCUGUGCACCUUUACUAUAGCUUGACAUUGGAUUUUGGGCCUGCAUGUGUAGGAUAGGUGGGAGGCUGUGAACCCUGUACGCCAGUAUGGGGGGAGCCAUCGUUGAAAUACCACCCUUGCAUGUUUAAGAUCCUAACUUCUUCCGGUCAUCCCGGAGAAAGACAGUGUCUGGCGGGUAGUUUGACUGGGGCGGUCGCCUCCUAAAGUGUAACGGAGGCAUGCAAAGGUUCCCUCAGCCUGAUCGGAAACCAGGCGCUGAGUGCAAACGCAUAAGGGAGCUUGACUGUAAGAGAGACAUCUCGAACAGGAACGAAAGUUGGCGUUAGUGAUCCGGUGGUCCCGAAUGGAAGGGCCAUCGCUCAUUGGAUAAAAGGUACGCCGGGGAUAACAGGCUGAUCGCAUCCAAGAGUUCACAUCGACGAUGCGGUUUGGCACCUCGAUGUCGGCUCAUCACAUCCUGGGGCUGAAGCAGGUCCCAAGGGUACGGCUGUUCGCCGUUUAAAGUGGUACGCGAGCUGGGUUUAAAACGUCGUGAGACAGUUUGGUCCCUAUCUUCUGUGGGCGAAGGAGAAUUGAGAGGGCCUGUCCCUAGUACGAGAGGACCGGGAUGGACGCACCCCUGGUGAUCCUGUUGUCGCGCCAGCGGCACAGCAGGGUAGCUAUGUGCGGAAGGGAUAACCGCUGAAAGCAUCUAAGCGGGAAGCCUGCCUCAAGAUAAGUUCUCCCCUCGAAAGAGCUGAAGGGCCCGGGUAGACUACCCGGUCGAUAGGCUGGAGGUGUAAGCGCGGCGACGCGCUCAGCUGACCAGUACUAAUAGCCCGAGCGGCUUAUUUGU
rnacentral:rRNA from 1 species